UAACAGUUAACUCGCACGGAGUUGGCACGUUUGUCUACGUUUGCCGCUAGGGGCGCUGUUCCAAUUGCAUACAAAUUACAGUUG
rnacentral:pre_miRNA from 1 species